rnacentral:piRNA from 1 species
AUACAUAUAUAGAUUAUUCUAAGG